rnacentral:rRNA from 1 species
UACGGAGGGGGCUAGCGUUGUUCGGAAUUACUGGGCGUAAAGCGCACGUAGGCGGCUCUGUAAGUUAGAGGUGAAAGCCCGGAGCUCAACUCCGGAACUGCCUUUAAGACUGCAUCGCUUGAACGUCGGAGAGGUAAGUGGAAUUCCGAGUGUAGAGGUGAAAUUCGUAGAUAUUCGGAAGAACACCAGUGGCGAAGGCGACUUACUGGACGACUGUUGACGCUGAGGUGCGAAAGCGUGGGGAGCAAACAGG